rnacentral:rRNA from 1 species
GAUGAACGCUGGCGGCGUGCCUAAUACAUGCAAGUCGAGCGAACGGACGAGAAGCUUGCUUUUCUGAUGUUAGCGGCGGACGGGUGAGUAACACGUGGAUAACCUACCUAUAAUACUGGGAUAACUUCGGGAAACCGGCGCUAAUACCGGAUAAUAUUUUGAACCGCAUGGUUCAAAAGUGAAAGACGGUCUUGCUGUCACUUAUAGAUGGAUCCGCGCUGCAUUAGCUAGUUGGUAAGGUAACGGCUUACCAAGGCAACGAUGCAUAGCCGACCUGAGAGGGUGAUCGGCCACACUGGAACUGAGACACGGUCCAGAGUCCUACGGGAGGCAGCAGUAGGGAAUCUUCCGCAAUGGGCGAAAGCCUGACGGAGCAACGCCGCGUGAGUGAUGAAGGUCUUCGGAUCGUAAAACUCUGUUAUUAGGGAAGAACAGAUGUGUAAGUAACUGUGCACAUCUUGACGGUACCUAAUCAGAAAGCCACGGCUAACUACGUG